rnacentral:rRNA from 1 species
CAAAUUUUGAUCUGAAAUCAGGUAGGAUUACCCGCUGAACUUAAGCAUAUCAAUAAGCGGAGGAAAAGAAACUAACAAGGAUUCCCUCAGUAACGGCGAGUGAAGCGGGAAGAGCUCAAAUUUAAAAUCUGGUUUGCUUGCAAGCCCGAGUUGUAGUCUGAAGAAACGUUUUCCAUAAGCACUGAGGCAAAAGUCCCUUGGAACAGGGCAUCAUAGAGGGUGAGAAUCCCGUCCAUGGUCUCAAGUUGUUUAUUUUGUGAUACGUUUUCAAAGAGUCAGGUUGUUUGGGAAUGCAGCCUAAAAUGGGUGGUAAAUUUCAUCUAAAGCUAAAUAUUGGCGAGAGACCGAUAGCGAACAAGUACCGUGAGGGAAAGAUGAAAAGAACUUUGAAAAGAGAGUUAAACAGUACGUGAAAUUGUUGAAAGGGAACCGUUUGAAGCCAGUCUUACUUGCCNUGUGAUCAAUUUUUGCYUCGGCAUGAAUGCACUCUCGGGUAUGGUAGGCCAACGACAGUUUGGAAUGCGAGAAAAAAAUAAGGGAAAUGUGGCCUUCGGGUGUUAUAGUCCCUUAUAAAAUAUCGUGUUCUGGACUGAGGAUCGCAGCAAAAAYGUGGGCAGGUGGAUUUCUGUGGUAACUGUCGRUUAGGACAACUUGUUGACCUAGUCUUCCUUAGCCUCACUAUUUACCUCGCUUCUAAUUUGCUUAGGUCGUUGGCAUAAUGGCUUUAAAUGACCCGUCUUGAAACACGGACCAAGGAGUCUAACAUAUAUGCGAGUAUUUGGGUGGCAAACCCAUAUGCGCAAUGAAAGUGAAAUUAGGUGCCAAACCUUCACGGGUGGCAGCAUCGGCCGGCUCUGACGUUUUAACUGACGAGUCUGAGCAGAAGCAUACAUGUUGGGACCCGAAAGAUGGUGAACUAUGCCUGAAUAGGGUGAAGCCAGAGGAAACUCUGGUGGAGGCUCGUAGCGAUUCUGACGUGCAAAUCGAUCGUCAAAUUUGGGUAUAGGGGCGAAAGACUAAUCGAACCAUCUAGUAGCUGGUUCCUGCCGAAGUUUCCCUCAGGAUAGC